UGAGUUGGCCGGGUGGCUGCGGCCGGGCCUGACCCGGUCGAGGAAAGUCGGGACUCCGCAGGGCAGGGUGCUGGCUAACGGCCAGUCGAGGUGACUCGCAGGAAAGUGCCACAGAAAGCAGACCGCCGAUGGGCCCACGGGUUCGCCCGGGGGUCACAGGUAAGGGUGAAACGGUGCGGUAAGAGCGCACCAGCGUCCGGGGCGACCCGGGCGGCUCGGUAAACCCCACCCGGAGCAAGGUCAAACGUGGGACGGCCGGCCCGGCUCAGGUCCCCAGGUAGACCGCUCAGAUGGAUGGCCACCCAUCCGGAUCCCGGAAACGGGCCGGUGGACAGAAUCCCGCUUACAGGCCAACUCACCGU
rnacentral:RNase_P_RNA from 1 species